GCAGAUUUUCCUGCUACGGAACAUUGCAAAUGUUAUGUAAUUACGGUAUUUAUGACUGUGUCAGAUAAUAUUAAUGUGAAUCAGUCAAUUAAAAAACAAUUUCAUGAAACUGAAGUUGUAUAUGACACAGACAAGUUGGCAAUGACUUUGAUUUUCUUGAAAUACUAGUGGCUGUUAAAUGACCAUUUUGAUUAACAGCCUUCUGCAUAUUACAUGUUCAAAAAAAUUUUAUUAAAAAAAUCAAAUACUGCACAAGAUGAAAUAAAAGACAAUCUGUAGUGUUAAUUCAGGUUAAAGCCAUUAUUUAUUUUUACAUUGUACAUGUACUGGGCAUUAAUUAAACAAUGCAGGCUCUUUGAACAAUUUACUUCACACUGGAUAUAUGUCACAUCUUCAUGUUAUAGAAGUUUGCAGGACAUGGAAAUAAGACAGUGGCUGUGACUAUGAGAAAACCGAUUUUGUAUUUUUCAUACAUGUACUAACUGCAAAUAUAGAUGUACAGAUGCUUUUAUAUGAUGGUGUACUUCUGAGGUUUUGUUAUAUAUUUCGGAAAUAUGUACGUACCCAGAAUAUGAUUUUAAAACCUCUUUUUUCAGAUGUGGUAUAUAUGUAUAUAUAAUUUAUAUUCUUUUCAAAAUGAUAACAUAUAUAUACCGGUAUUAUAAAUAAAUUGUGUAUUUU
rnacentral:misc_RNA from 1 species